GUCUAUAUGAAGGUGUAUAUAGUUUGGCCUGCUCACUGAUUAUAUUAAAGAGCCGCAGUAUUUUGACUGUGCGAAGGUAGCAUAAUAAAUUGUCUUUUAAAUGGAGGCUUGAAUGAAAGGUUGGACAAAGUAUCAUCUGUUUCUUAAAUAUUUAUUGAAUUUGACUUUCAAGUGAAAAGGCUUGAAUAAAUUAAAAAGACGAUAAGACCCUAUAAAUCUUUACAAUAAACAUAUUUUAUAUUUUUAUUUAUUAAGUGAAUGAGAUAUUAAAUUUGUAGUUGUUCCGCUGGGGCGGCGUAGAUAUAUAAAUGAACUGUCUAUAAUUUUAAAUACAAUAAUUAUUGAUUAAUGAAAUUGAUCCUUAAAUAGAUUAAAAGAUUAAGAUACUUUAGGGAUAACAGCGUUAUUUUUUCUGAGAGUUCUUAUCGAAGAAAAAGUUUGCGACCUCGAUGUUGAAUUAAAGUAUCUUUAUGGUGCAGUCGCUAUAAGAGAGAGUCUGUUCGACUUUUAAUACUUUACAUGAUUUGAGUUCAGACCGGCGUGAG
rnacentral:rRNA from 1 species